AAAAGAGGUAUAAUUGUUCUGCAGUUUGCUUGCAUUCAGUUUUAUUUUGAAACUUCUGUCUGAAGUAGGAGCUGCACACAUAUGGAUCAGGCUGAACAAGUCAUUUCACCCCACUCUGUCUCAAUUUCCCUGUCUAUACGGUGAGAAUGAUGAAACUUCUAUAGAAGUAUUGAGUACCUAUGGGCAGAAAGAGUGGUUCAGUUAAAUUUCACCUGACACAGAACAGACUGAAUGUUUUUUUCUCUGUGUCCAUGUUCCUGUCAAAAGAUAUAGGACAGUUAGUACUCAUAAACUAGCAUCAUACUUUGAUGUGCUACAUCUUUGUCUGGUAUUAACAGGCAUAGCUCCAUCCACAAAGCUGCACCCAGUAACCAGCAGAAGACAUACAGCUGUAGCAAGGAGCAAAGGCAGGCACAGCACUUCCCAGGAUUUUAUGCUGACUUGAGCUCCUUUUGUCCAGUACUUGACAAGGGGCCCAGGCUAAAUAGGAGGCCACAGGGCAAAGGGCAAAAGAAUGAUACUAAUUCACAAACAGCCUCAUAAAACUACUCUUAUUGGCUCUUUAAAAAGUUGUAACUGUCUGCCAAAAGAACUACACAUGGAUGAGGUCACCACGAGCAGUCAGCAAGCCCUGCUAUGCAAGAGAAAGAUCUGGUCAUGUUUUGCUUAAACCAAUAGAGAGGUAGGUACAACAGAGGGAAUCCUAGCCUGGCUAGCUGGCCACGGUCCACCUACUUUCUUGUCAGGCAGUCACCAGAAGUGGACAAAUUUGUGCUUCAGUCUUAACUUAAUGGUGUCCAUAGGUUAAAAAAAUAUAUGUGAUCCAGCGAGUGUUUCUGUAAGAUGCUGAUUCCCAAUCCAGCAAACCACUUCAGGAUGUGAAAGUAUCAUUGUUUUCAUUUGUCAUUACCUGCUGUUUCAUACAGAAAGGACCUACCUUGCACACCCACUACUACUGUGGGUCAGGGUGCUCUCUGUGUUUCUUUUUCUUCACAUGAACUAUCUCAUUAAGUAAAUAAAAAAGAUUGCUGAAGAACACCACCUGCUUUUCUGGUUUCAGUGGGGGAAAAAAAAUCACUUUUCUCCCCACAGCUUUUUAAAUCUCAUAAAUACAUCAUUAGAAUACCGGAUUACUGCUCGGUUCCAGAUCAUAUUUUAUUCAAGUAUAUCUUAGGCUUUCAUUUUUGUCUUUUGUCAUAACUUCCUUGUCCCAUAUUUAUCAAACAAAGCUUAACUUACAGCUCGUUUUUGUUUGUUUAGUGUGGUGUGGGUUUUUGCCAACCACAAACAUAAUUUAUUUAUUUAUUUGGUUUGGCAAAUGGUAAAGCUUUUUUCUCACAUAAUUUUCCUUGCAGUUCUCUUUCACUCUUGCUAAACAAAUCACUCCAUUAAGCAAUGAAGCCUGCUACCUCUAUAUACCCACCUCCCCCACAAGGAUCACCUCAUUUAUCACAAAGAUUCAACAGUGAAACAGUCAUCAUUUUAUUUUGCUGCUUUCUUCACGGGACUAUGAAGGAUAGUUUUAUGAGGUUGUUUGUGAAUUAGCAUCUAUAAUUUUCCCUUUGCCCUCUGAUCUCUCUGUUUGAGACCCUUGGCAAGAACAGAACAAAUGAGUGGAACUGAAUACAAAACCAUGGGAAAUGCUGUGCCUGAAUUUGUUUGGCUCAACAGCUGGAAGAAAACAACUUAAGUGAUGUUAAGCUUAUUAAUACCACGUGAGAAUUAAGGAUUUCAACCAAUGAGAUAAUUAGAUUUUGUAUGCUCUGAAGCAAAUAGAGAAAACCAGGCUAACCUAGCUCUUCAGAAAAACUGGUCCAGUUUAUCAGGGUUAAUCCAAGCUUUGGAUGCACAAGUUCUGAUGCAGUAAACAGUUGAGCAAGUGGAUCCACGAGGACCAGAACCAAUCAAGUCAGGUCCAAGCAAUCUCUACCAGUGCAAAUUUUCUGAAGGCUGGAAGAAAUCAGCUUUUUAGCCUUUUUCUCAGUAAGAACACUAGCAUGGUGUCUGCAGGAGUUUCCUCUCUUUUAAACCUCCUGCUUUACAGUCUUAUUGCGAUAACUGUCACAUUCAAAACUAUUUAAGGGAAAGGGAAAACAAAUACUCAUACACUCAUGCACACAGACACUCACACGUACACACACCCAGAACAGGAUUGCAUAAACUCCAUUUCCUUAGGAAGCAGGACUAAAACUGAAGUGUUUACAUGAAAUAGCAAAGCAAAGAAGCCAAGGCUUUGGAAGGCUUUCAGCCAGAUUCUUGUCUUCUGUAAAUCAGUGCGGAGAGCAAUAGAGCAGUACCAAUUUGCACCAAUUUGGGGCAUCUGGCCCUUAUUCUUGACUAGUCCAUUGUAUAUCCAGUCUUUGCAAAAUGAAAAUGUCAGGUUUUUGAGACCAGGAUCAAAGAUGUGUUGGAAAGGACAUUUACUAGGGAAUUGAAAACCCACAAGGGAUAGUGCAUGAAGGCUAAAUAAUAUUGUUUUAAAGUAAUGGCUACAACAUUUUCAGGAAGCUUGCUUUCCCUGGAUACAUCCCAUUUUAAGGCAUCACUGUUCAGUCUCAUAAAGAACACUAUUGCUGACAAAAUAGCCUCCAGUUCUUGCUGUUUCAACUACUGCAUUGAUCAAUUUGAAAUGUCUGUUUGCCUGACAUGACGGGGAGCACAAAUGAUCUGAAAUGUGAUAUGGCGUUGCAAGAUGAUUUGAACUACUCUUUACAUCUUUCUUCCUUUUUUCAGAAGAAUGACAGUAAGCCAAAAGAGUAAAUGAAACCUGAUUUAGGGAAGCACCUACCACAGUUAUGGCCUGCUUUGAUUCAUUGUCAUGUGUAUUGGAAUCUGGCUGACCAAGAAGUGACGAGAAUGUCUUCUUCCGAGAAGAUAUUUCAUAUGCUACAAAAUAGUUUAGAUUCAGCCAAGCUUCAGGAAAACAUAAAAUAGUGCUGAGAUUAGCUCGAAAUCCACCUUUAAACUUCUGGAGAAGUUCAGGCAUGGAGCCUAAUUUGGGCAUUUUCUCAGCUACUUCAUAACAGCAAAUUCAUGCUGAAAGUGCCUCUAAGGAGCUUUAUGAUGUGACUGAUGGGCAUCUUUUGAACUGUUCCUCCUCCUGCAUGUGAUGCCACCAGCCUGAUAGAGCAUGAAACAGCCCUACUGUUGUUCAACCCUCCCUUUGCUGCUAUUUCCUCAUGAAUCCAAGUGCUACUUCCACAAGAGCAUCUUGUUUUCCACAGCAAUUAAAAGAUCCAGAAUGUACUAUGUGUUCCUUGGAUAGUGGACAACAUGCUGGAUAGUUCCAGAUAAGCAGUGAAAACUAGUAGUAGCUCUUUCAGUACUGGUGUAAACCUGAUGGAAGAUCAGACUCAGACACAAGAGAUUUAUUCAUCUGUUUUAUCCAAAAGGCCACGGUUUCAAAAGGUCUUAAAAAACAUAGCAACAAUACAUUCCAACACUUCCCUCUGAUUAUGGGAAAGCACCCUGCCCUCCAAGCCUAGGUA